AGAGUUUGAUCAUGGCUCAGAAUGAACGCUGGCGGCGUGCUUAACACAUGCAAGUCGUGCGCGAAGGUGGCUUCGGCCACCGGAGAGCGGCGAACGGGUGAGUAACACGUGGGUGAUCUGCCUGGGAGCGGGGGAUAACCUGGGGAAACUCGGGCUAAUACCGCAUACGUUGCUCUGGUUGCGGCUGGAGCAAGAAAGCUGGCCUCUAUUUAUAAGCUAGCGCUCGCAGAGGAGCCCGCGGCUGAUUAGCUAGUUGGUAGGGUAAUGGCCUACCAAGGCGACGAUCAGUAGCCGGCCUGAGAGGGUGAUCGGCCACACUGGGACUGAGACACGGCCCAGACUCCUACGGGAGGCAGCAGUGGGGAAUAUUGGACAAUGGGCGCAAGCCUGAUCCAGCAACGCCGCGUGGAGGACGAAGAUCUUCGGAUCGUAAACUCCUGUCAGGCGGGACGAAGGCUUCCGUGCGAACAGUGCGGAAGCUUGACGGUACUGCCAGAGGAAGCCCCGGCUAACUCCGUGCCAGCAGCCGCGGUAAUACGGAGGGGGCUAGCGUUAUUCGGAAUUAUUGGGCGUAAAGGGCGCGUAGGCGGCCCGGUAAGUCAAAGGUGAAAUCCCUCGGCUCAACUGAGGAACUGCCUUUGAAACUGUCGGGCUUGAGGCCGGGAGGGGGUAGCGGAAUUCCCAGUGUAGCGGUGAAAUGCGUAGAUAUUGGGAGGAACACCGGUGGCGAAGGCGGCUACCUGGACCGGUUCUGACGCUGAUGCGC
rnacentral:rRNA from 1 species